AGUGAACGCUGGCGGUAGGCCUAACACAUGCAAGUCGAACGGCAGCACAGUAAGAGCUUGCUCUUACGGGUGGCGAGUGGCGGACGGGUGAGGAAUACAUCGGAAUCUACUUUUUCGUGGGGGAUAACGUAGGGAAACUUACGCUAAUACCGCAUACGACCUACGGGUGAAAGCAGGGGAUCUUCGGACCUUGCGCGAUUGAAUGAGCCGAUGUCGGAUUAGCUAGUUGGCGGGGUAAAGGCCCACCAAGGCGACGAUCCGUAGCUGGUCUGAGAGGAUGAUCAGCCACACUGGAACUGAGACACGGUCCAGACUCCUACGGGAGGCAGCAGUGGGGAAUAUUGGACAAUGGGCGCAAGCCUGAUCCAGCCAUACCGCGUGGGGGAAGAAGGCCGUCGGGUUGGAAAGCCCUUUUGUUGGGAAAGAAAAGCAGCAGGUUAAUACCCCGCUGUUCUGACGGUACCCAAAGAAUAAGCACCGGCUAACUUCG
rnacentral:rRNA from 1 species